AAUGAAGCCGGGAAACCGGUCCUUCUAACCCUUGAUUAUCUUAAUUUGUUGCUUUGGUGGGCCGCGCAAGCACCGGCUUCGGCUGGAUUGUGCCCGCCAGAGGACCACAACUCUUGUCUUUAGUGAUGUCUGAGUACUAUAUAAUAGUUAAAACUUUCAACAACGGAUCUCUUGGUUCU
rnacentral:misc_RNA from 1 species